rnacentral:lncRNA from 1 species
AGUGGUACAGGGCUGUGAUAUGGUUUGGAUGUCUGUCCCCUUCAAAUCUCAUGAUGAAAUGCGAUCCCUAAUAUUGGAGGUAGAGCCUGGUGGGACCUGACUGGAUCAUGGGGGCAGAUCCCCAGGAAAGGCUUAGCGCCACAUCGCCUAGAAUGAAAUGGGUCAGCAUCUGACAUACUGCAUAAAUCACUGAACCAAUAUUUUCUAAAUGUAACAUGCAUGAUGGUACAAAAUCACACAUAGACCAUCCUGGCCUGUCAAGCCCCCAUCCUGUGCGUAUAAAAACCCCGAGACCCUAGCAGACAGACAUGCAGGCAGCUGGACGUCGAGAGGAACACUCUGGUGGAAGAACACCCAAACAGACAUCAGCAGAAGCCGGUAGACGCUGGCAGGCUGACCAGCUGAACGAUGCGGAGUUUGGCCAGGGUGGUUGGAGGGGAGCCCAGCCACUGGGCAGCCCUACUCCGGAGGAAAACCACUUUCCCAAUCCAUUCCCUUCUGGCUCCCCCGUCUUCUGAGAGCUACCACCACUCAAUAAAAACCCUUGCAGCCAUCCUCCAA